rnacentral:rRNA from 1 species
UUUUGAUUAGUGGCGCACGGGUGAGUAAUAUAUAGGUAACGUGCCUCUUAGUCUGGGAUAGCCACUGGAAACGGUGAUUAAUACCGGAUACUCCUUCUGAUUCUAAUGUCAGUCGGGAAAGUUUUUCGCUAAGAGAUCGGCCUAUAUCCUAUCAGUUAGUUGGUGAGGUAAUGGCUCACCAAGGCAAUGACAGGUAGCGGGUUUGAGAGGAUGAUCCGCCACACUGGUACUGAGACACGGACCAGACUCC